rnacentral:lncRNA from 1 species
UCCAUGGUAACACAAGACAUUUUCGAAAUUCCAACGCCAAAUUCCACAUCUACCAAAGUUGCUCAUUGUUAUGCUUAAGUUUCAAAAAAUUUGGAGCAUUUUGAUAUUUUGGAAAUUUUUGGUGUAGUUUCCAUGACAACAUAGUAGUUCCAAUGAUUGCCAAAAUCAUCCAAAACCAGUAUAUGCCCGGCACCUACAUUGUAUCAAAAUAUAAUGAUUCUGAGUUUAAGCAUCUCCAAAUUAUUCACCAAAACCCAAAAAUUUAAUUUUUCACAUUUGUUCCGUUUCCAUGGUAACGGCAGCCAUUUUUAAUGGUCUUAUGACCUACUGCAACCCGGAAUUUUGUGUUCCUCAUUAUAGUCAACUAUCAUUAAGAUUGGUUCCAUUGUCUCCAAGAAAACUGCCGGACAAAAUCAUUGGAAGAAUAAUAAUAAUAAUAGUAAAGAAACAGAGGAAAAGCAAUAUGUCACCCGACAUUGUCGAUCGGGUGACAUAAUAAUAAGAACUGACCAAAAACAAUAAGUCUCCAAACUUUGUUUGGGAGACUUAAUUA